GUGCUCGCUUCAACAGCAUGUAUACUAAAAUUGGAAUGAUACAGAGAUUAGCAUGGCCCCUGUGCAAGGAUGACACGCAGAUUUGUGAAGGGGUGUUAAAGCAG